rnacentral:rRNA from 1 species
UACAGAGGGGCAAGCGUUGUUCGGAAUUACUGGGCGUAAAGGGCGCGUAGGCGGCCCGCUAAGUCGAACGUGAAAUCCCCAGGCUCAACCUGGGAACUGCGUCCGAUACUGGCAGGCUUGAAUCCGGGAGAGGGAUGUGGAAUUCCAGGUGUAGCGGUGAAAUGCGUAGAUAUCUGGGAGGAACACCGGUGGCGAAAGGCGGCAUCCUGGACCGGUAUUGACGCUGAGGCGCGAAAAGCUAGGGGAGCAAACGGGG